GGACUGUCGUUUUGGUAUGAUUAUUCCAGGCUAGGUCCUAUUGUUGGAAACGUAUGCCUCUAGGAGACCUAUUUUUCUUUGGCAAUGUUGUUUGUGGGGUCAUGGCAUUUUUUUCCCGUGGUGUGUUGGUUUACUUUACACAGUGGCAUCUGUAGGGGAGAGUGGCCAGAUAAACGUACCAAAACCUCUCUAUCCACAUCAGCCUAGUAUUGCGUUCCUGGUGCGUUUCAGUGUAUUCUAGAGCAAAAGGGACUGUGUGAUUGUGUAAUUAUAUGACGUAAUAACUUUGUCAUUUAUGUUUACCUUUUAUUCUGCCCAUGGGAUAGGUACCCCAAGCUCUCUCC